UUCGGUCUUCAAGCCUGUCAUACUGACUCGUCUUGAGCGAAAAUAAGUCUGUAACCCGCAAUGUGUGCGAAUUAUUGGCAAAAGGCAACCGCAGGCUGCCUUUUUCUUU
rnacentral:sRNA from 1 species